GUCAGUGUGGUACAGUGGUUUGUGUAUUGGACCAGAACUCUGGAAGAUCAGGGUUCAGUUCCCCACUCUGACA